UACGUAGGUGGCGAGCGUUAUCCGGAAUUACUGGGUGUAAAGGGUGUGUAGGCGGGCUUGCAAGUCAGAUGUGAAAACUAUGGGCUUAACCCAUAGCCUGCAUUUGAAACUGUAGGUCUUGAGAGUCGGAGAGGUAAACGGAAUUCCGAGUGUAGCGGUGAAAUGCGUAGAUAUUCGGAGGAACACCGGUGGCGAAGGCGGUUUACUGGACGACAACUGACGCUGAGACACGAAAGCGUGGGGAGCAAACAGG
rnacentral:misc_RNA from 1 species